GGCAGUGGUGGUGCUUGACCUCAGCGUUAGUGAAGCUUUUGGUGCUGUCACCCAUAACAUGCCUCUGGACAAACUGGUGAAGUACAGACUGUGAGGUGGACUGAAAACUGUCUAAGUUCAGGUGUGACAGCAGGGUGAGGUUGAGUUGGAGCCAGUGGUGAAGUCAGUAGUGUUUGACAUCUUCAUUAAUGACCAGGGUGCUGGGACAGAGCACUCCUCUAGCCAGCCUGUGAUUGUACCACCAUGGAGGAAUGCUCGAUGGACUGGAUGGAUGUGGUGCUGCUCAGCAGGACCCUGACAGGCUGCAGAAAUGCAGGAAUAGGAACCUGAUAAAAUUCAACACAGGGAAAAGCCAAGUCCCACACCUGGGGAGCCACAGCCUCCUCCAGUGCUGGGAGCUGUGCAGAGAGGCCCUCCAGGGCCCGGGGUGUGUCUGGCAAAGGAAACCAGCAGCAGCUUGAGCUGCAGUUCAGUCUGACCACCCUGGCUCGUGGGGACACUGAAGCUGCAUGGCCUGGGUACCUGUGUGCCUGGUCCAGCCUCAGUCUGGGCACUUUGCCCCCAAAAGCUGUGUCUGAAGCAGGGGCUGGCAGUGGGGU